UCUUUAUAUUUUUUUUAAUAUAUUAAAAAAAAUAUUAAAUUGGGGUGAUUAUAAAAUUAUUAAAACUUUUAUUUUAUUUACAUUAAUUUAUGAAUUUUAGAUCUUUAUUAAAAAUAUAUAAAUUAAGU
rnacentral:rRNA from 1 species